UACAGAGGUCCCGAGCGUUGUUCGGAUUCACUGGGCGUAAAGGGUGCGUAGGUGGUGAGGUAAGUCGGAUGUGAAAUCUCCGAGCUCAACUCGGAAAUGGCAUUGGAAACUACCUUGCUUGAGGGUUGGAGGGGGGACUGGAAUACUUGGUGUAGCAGUGAAAUGCGUAGAUAUCAAGUGGAACACCAGUGGCGAAGGCGAGUCCCUGGACGAACUCCUGACACUGAGGCACGAAAGCUAGGGGAGCAAACAGG
rnacentral:rRNA from 1 species